AGUGAACGCUGGCGGUAGGCCUAACACAUGCCAGUCGAACGGCAGCACAGUAAGAGCUUGCUCUUACGGGUGGCGAGUGGCGGACGGGUGAGGAAUGCAUCGGAAUCUACUUUUUCGUGGGGGAUGACGUAGGGAAACUUACGCUAAUACCGCAUACGACCUACGGGUGAAAGCAGGGGAUCUUCGGACCUUGCGCGAUUGAAUGAGCCGAUGUCGGAUUAGCUAGUUGGCGGGGUAAAGGCCCACCAAGGCGACGAUCCGUAGCUGGUCUGAGAGGAUGAUCAGCCACACUGGAACUGAGACACGGUCCAGACUCCUACGGGAGGCAGCAGUGGGGAAUAUUGGACAAUGGGCGCAAGCCUGAUCCAGCCAUACCGCGUGGGUGAAGAAGGCCUUCGGGUUGUAAAGCCCUUUUGUUGGGAAAGAAAAGCAGCAGGUUAAUACCCCGCUGUUCUGACGGUACCCAAAGAAUAAGCACCGGCUAACUUCGUG
rnacentral:rRNA from 1 species